GCGCUCCCGCGCCGGCUCGGCGAAGGUUCCGGAGCUCGCGCGCGCCCCCGCCCCGCCCGCGUCACCGCCGCCCGCUCCGGUGCGGACCCUGUGGCAGGUGUUUCCAGGCCCCCUGUGUGGCAUCCCCUGCCUUGGAGCAGCUAAAGCCGUGAGGAGCAGGACCAGCUCAUUCCAGGUAACUGUGCUGAGUGAUGGCAGAGCAUCGUCAGGACGUCACCAUGAUGGAGGAUCACGCAGCUGCCCAGGAGAAGCACAUCCCAUCAGGCUAUCCCCUUCAGAUACCAGUUGAUGAUGGAUCAGAUGAGCCUGUUUCUGAGACAUCUGACGCUAAGAGCACCCCAACUACGGAAGAUGCCACAGCACCUUUAGUGGAGGAAGGAGACCACGAGGAUCAGCACGGGGAGAUCCCGGAAGGAACCACAGCUGAAGAGGCAGGUGUAGGAGCCACUCCCACCCUGGAGGACCAUGCUGCAGGAGAUUCCACUCAAGCUCCAGGGGAGCCAAGCUCUGCCAAGCCACAGCCUGGCCCCCAGGAGCCUGUGGGAGGUGUGAUGCUGCCACCUGAAACAAAGGCUACAGCAGCAGCUCCCACCAGAAUCGAGGUCACCAUCCCAAUACCCCUGGAUAUGUACCAGGACUCCAGAGCAUCCGAAGACAAGAGUGAGUUGUGGGAUCAUCGAGGCAGAGAAGGCAUUGGUGUAGAUGCAGCCCUGGGAGCAGAGCUGGGGCCUGAGGUGCACACUGAGGGGUUGGCAGGAGCUGGUGGCACAGAGGAGACCCAUGUUAAAGAUGGGCCAUCUCCUUUAUGUACCAGAGCCCCAUUAAAAGAAGAUGCCAGUGGACAGGAGGGAGAUGAAGACCGUGACAUAGAUGAGAUGUCUGAGCAGGGUUUGCUUUCUUUGGUGGCUCAGCAUGAAAUGGGCUCAUGUGCAGCAGCUAAGGAAGCUCUUAAAGAUAACAAGGAUGUCCUCAGGGACAUCCCAGGAGAGGCACUUGUUGUUGAAGCUGAAUCCCAUAAAGCAGCAGAGGACCAAGAGGAGAGGAGACAGGCACUGGGAGGUGAAGAAGGCAGAGCUAUCCCCCCAUCAGAGCCUCCAGAAGUCAUCUCCCAGGCAGAAGCUGAGCCCAGAGAGGGAGAAGACUCUGGACCCACAGAGAUAAAGGAUGAUGUGCAAGGCAAGGAUGCUCCUCUGGAAGAGGUUGUACCAGGUACAGGAGAGCAUCGAACCCCCAAGAAGAAGCCUCCUGCCCUUGCUGCAGACAGAGCCACCAGUCGUGUCCCUCUCCUCAAAGGUCGUAUUGACAGCAAAGACAAAGAAGGGACUGAAGCUGAGGAUAAGAAACUGAAGACCUCCUCACCCUGCACUGCCAACCCCCCAGGGGAUAGACCCUGCAUCCCCCCCCAUCGACACACCUCCUCUAGCACAGCCCCUCCGAAAACACCCUCCAGCCUUGCCUCUAAACGAGCCUCUCCUGUCACAUCCCGACCUGCCAGUACAGGAACACAGGACAGGAAAGCCAAGGGCUCGGAGGUGAGAGGUGGCACCAAGGCACCAAGGGCUGGAGCUGGGCAGGCUCAGAGGAACUCCACCAACGCCACCCGCAUCCCAGCAAAGACCCCCACGGCCCCUAAGACACCCCCCAGCUCCGGCAGAAAGGAGCAGAAAAAACCACCUCCUGCAGCAGCAAAGUCUGAGAAAGGUGAGCAGCCCAAGUCCGGAGACAGAAGCGGUUACAGCAGUCCCGGCUCCCCCGGGACUCCCGGCAGCCGUUCCCGCACCCCCUCUCUGCCCACCCCACCAGCCAGGGAGCCCAAGAAGGUGGCCGUGGUCCGGACCCCCCCCAAGUCCCCUGCCUCUGCCAAGAGCCGCGUGCAGCCCUCGGCCGCCCCAAUGCCCGACCUCAAGAACGUCAAGUCCAAGAUCGGCUCCACUGAGAACCUCAAGCACCAGCCUGGGGGUGGCAAGGUGCAGAUUAUUAAUAAGAAGCUGGACUUUAGCAGCGUUCAAUCCAAGUGUGGCUCAAAGGAUAAUAUCAAACACAUCCCGGGAGGAGGCAGUGUGCAGAUUGUUAAUCAGAAGUUGGACUUUAGCAGCGUUCAAUCCAGGUGUGGCUCAAAGGAUAAUAUCAAACACAUCCCGGGAGGAGGCAGUGUGAGUACCUUCACACUUUGAAUGCAUUGUAAUAACCCUGACCCUCAGUGGCAUGUUGUGUACACUAAAGCACCGAUGCUAUCUGCUGUCAGAUAGCCAUUGGUGGUGACGUGCUGUCCUUUAACCCCAUUAACCCCAAAGACAUGGUGAGAUGAGCCCUAACAAGUCCUGGACAUGGACAGAACUAACUGACCUGCGCAGAAACCAUGUCUGUAACAGAACAUCCCAUUAACUGGAAGGUUUGACACGACCUGGAAGGCUGGAUGCCUCAUUGUCUGCAGGAUGGGUGCCUCUGGCAGACAGUGACCUAGCUGCUGAUGCAGUAAAUGGAUAGAUCUAUAAGCACAGUCCUUGUUGCUUAAUAGGCUGCUAAAUUGCCCAGGACUGCACAACAUGGGAACGUGCAGGUUCCUGCCCAUUCCCAGCAGGCCAGCAUGGUCCAUGCAGACAUUGAGCUGCUCUUUGCUAUGUCCAGCAGUGCCUGUGGAGGCUGAACCUGAACUAAUAUGGCAUUUCCAGCUGUUCCCAGAUAAAACAGUGGGACUCAGCUUUCAGAAACCUGGAGAAGCUCCACAGAGGUUGGUGGAUUUCCACCAGUCCCUAUGGAGACAGUCUGGGUGUGGGCACAUCACUGAGACCCCAAACAGUGUGACCCAGGGGCUGGUCUGAGGGAGCUGCUGGUGCCUCUCACAUCUUCCUGCUGGAUUUCCUUUGUGCUGGUGUUGAUCCCUAUGGAUGCCCUCCUGAGGAACGGAGCAUUGCAGAGGGCUUGGCAUGUGAGCACUGGGACAUAACUGGGUUUGCAACCUCCCUCUUAAAUUUGAUCUCAUCCUGCAUUUAUUUAACAGGCCAGAGGAGCUGCUCUGCAGAGGUCACACCUCUGUGAAGCAGGGUCUGUGCUUGUUCUGCUCUUUCUUACCCCAGGGUCCUGCUCUGGCUUGGACUGCUUGGUGGACCACUUGUGACACCAGGAGUUAGUGUUCCUCAUGCAUCGCCUGUGCUGGGGCUGCUCAUGAGCUUCAGCACAGUGUGGUCAGCUCCUCCUUGUCUCCACUGAGAGCUCACUGCACACACAAGCAUUUGCAGCUGUAGUGGGUUAUGAAACACCUGGAAUCUUGGCUGGAGGUUGUCAUGGGACAUGGAGAGCAGCAGCUCAGUGUGCUUGGACCAAAGCCAUGUGCGGGCAUGGCUGUCAUGGGACACUCAGAGGGGCAAUGAGAGCACCAGGGCUUGGUGGCCCCACACCUCCCUCCUCUGCUGCAGGGACCUGGGGUUGGUACCUCUGUGUUCUUAAGCCAGUGGCUGCUUCAGCCAAGUGAUGUGUUAGGCCAGAGUUGACCUAAGCAUUGCUGAUGUGAGAGGUGGGACCCCCAGGUCUCUGUUCCCAAGCAAGCAGCUCUGUGGCCCUUUCCCUUUCUUGCUACAAUGGGGAGGCUCUUUGCUCCCCAGCAGGAUGGUUAAGGGGUUAAUGGAACCUGUGAAAAGAGAGAGCUUCCAUUGCUGGUAGCUUGCUCUGGAAAUGGGAGGUCUUCCAGUCCCAGCUCUCAGUGGUGCCUGAAUUCCUCAUAGGCCCUUGGGUCACACUGGGAUUAGAAAGGCAUCGGUUGUCCCUUUGGGAUCUGCUUCCUGCCUUCCCUGUGCUUUCCUCCUGCCCCAUGCACCAAAGGUGUGAUCCUUCCCCAGCACUGUCUCUAUGUCUGUGUGUGCCAUGUCCUCCCAGAGCCAGGGAUUGCUCUUCUCCCCUCUCUCUGUCUCCACUCUCUGUCCCACGUGCUUCCAGAUAUGUGUGAGCAUUGAGACAAGGUAGGCCCCUAGCUCCAUGUGUGGGUAGGAUGGGAUGGGGGCACCGAGCCUCUCUUCCCCCAUUCUCUUCCUUGCUGCAUGAUGGAGAGGGAGUGUUUCUCAGUGCUGUGCACAACCACAGUCCAGCCCCUGGCUCUGAGAGGAGAAGUGAAGGAUGCCCCUUCACCCUGGGGCUUUGGAGCCAGCACAGGGUGCUUGGAUGGAGAGCAGGGGCUAUGGUGAGUCCUUGGUGCAGAGGCUGCCUCUGCUGAGGUCCCUUUGGGGGUGGCACAUCCAUCCACUGUGAAGCCAGAGAGCAGCACAUGCUGCCCAUGAAGUGCAGCCUAUUGUGAGAGCCACUGUUCCCUGUGAGUAGGAACCAGCCUUGAGGUGUUGCUGAUGUGGUUCCUCCUGCACAGCCCCACUAGUACAGCCAGUAGUGUGCUGGUUCCCACAAGACCAGCUCCAAGGGCCUUAUGGGGAUGUCUUCUGCCCCCUUGUCUCCUGCUCCUGCCGUAGCUGCUGUGUCUGUGCUGUGGUUGCUGUCCCUGACAGACCCUGCAGUGCUUUGGGUGGUGUUUGAACCUCUAACAUUACCACUAAACAGCUCCUGUUACCUGUUCCUUGUGUGUGCGUCUCAUGUCAGCAGUGUCUGUGUGCAACAGGCCCCACACUGGGCACGGAUGGGGCAGUGUCAUGGGGUUGCUGGGGAUGGGAUGGGGAACACGAGUGAAAACCAGAGCUUGAUACCAUGAAAUGCUGUUGUGGAUGGAUACCUGAGUCUCUGUAAUGGGAACUGCUGCCUGACAGUUAACCUUUGCCUUGCCUCUUUUUGUUUUUAAACCCUGGUUUCCAUUACAGCAUCGUUCAGAAAUGCAUAUUUUUGGUCACUCUUUUGAAGAGUUCUGUGCACAUUGAUCAUUUCUGUUCUUUCAGUUUUUGUGGACAUAAACUUUAUGUUUUACACCAGAAAAGGUAUUUAUUUUUUACGUUUUUUCUCUCUGGUUCUUUCCUUCCUUUGGAUGAUGUGUUUGCAAAUCUCAGUUAAUCACCACUCCACUUUCUCUCUCUGUAAGCACUUUAAACUUGCCUCUACCCCCCCUCUGUGGAGAGGUGAUCUCGUGCAUGCUGACAUGUUAAAGAGGCUCCUGCACACGGGUGUUAAUGCUCUCCCGUUUCCAAUGACAGUUUCUCUUGUCUCUCUACUCCUCCUGGGGUUAAGCUGUCCUCUCCCUGGCUGCAGCUCAGGUGCCGCUGUGUGUUGUGCCUCCCCUGUGCCAUGCUGACCAUCCCUCACUGCUUCUCCUCUCUCACAUGGACAGGUUCAGAUCGUUUACAAGCCAGUCGACCUGAGCCACGUCACAUCCAAAUGUGGUUCCCUGGGCAACAUCCAUCACAAACCAGGUGGUGGCCAAGUGGAGGUGAAAUCUGAGAAACUGGACUUCAAAGAUAAGGUGCAGUCAAAAAUCGGGUCCUUAGAUAACAUCAGCCACGUCCCUGGAGGAGGAAACAAAAAGAAAGGCAAGGAAGACAAGACCCGUCCCCAGGCUGCUCAGCCCCCCAGCCCAGACCCUGCUGGGCUCCAGCCCCUGCAGAGCCAGCCCCCAGCCCUGCACUUGGCUGCUGAGGGCACCAAUUGAGACCCACAAACUGACCUUCCGUGAGAACGCCAAAGCCAAGACUGACCAUGGUGCUGAGAUCGUCUACAAGUCCCCAACCAUCUCUGGUGACCCUUCCCCACGUCGGCUCAGCAACGUCUCCUCCAGCGGCAGC